rnacentral:rRNA from 1 species
CUACGGGAGGCAGCAGUGAGGAAUAUUGCACAAUGGGGGGAACCCUGAUGCAGCAACGCCGCGUGGAGGAUGACGCAUUUCGGUGUGUAAACUCCUUUUAUAUGUCAAGAAAAUGACGGUAGCAUAUGAAUAAGCACCGGCUAACUCCGUGCCAGCAGCCGCGGUAAUACGGAGGGUGCAAGCGUUACUCGGAAUCACUGGGCGUAAAGGACGCGUAGGCGGGUUGGAAAGUCAGGUGUGAAAUCCUACAGCUUAACUGUAGAACUGCGCUUGAAACUUCUAAUCUAGAGGAUGGGAGGGGGAGAUGGAAUUAGUGGUGUAGGGGUAAAAUCCGUAGAUAUCACUAGGAAUACCUAAAGCGAAGGCGAUCUCCUGGAACAUUACUGACGCUAAGGCGUGAAAGCGUGGGGAGCAAACAGGAUUAGAUACCCCGGUAGUC